AGGUUCUUUCUGAGACAUGUUUUCAUGGUGUGGGAAUAAGACUUGGUGGUCUUAUACAGCUAAUACAAAGGUUAGCAUCACAGCUUGUCUGUAAGGAUUGAAGCUGGGAGUGGGCAUUGGAGCUGACUUUUAUGAUAACUGUGGCUGCAUAGAAU